rnacentral:piRNA from 1 species
UCUCUAAGUAGGAGGUGCUCAGAAAUCCC